GCCUGUGCUCGCUAAACAUAUACUAAAAUUGGAACAAUACAAAGAAGAUUACAUGGCCUCUGCACAAGAAUGACACGCACAUUCGUGAAGCAGUCCAUAUUUUU
ensembl:snRNA U6 U6 spliceosomal RNA